rnacentral:rRNA from 1 species
UUGAACGCUGGCGGCAGGCCUAACACAUGCCAGUCGAACGGUAACAGGAAGCAGCUUGCUGCUUCGCUGACGAGUGGCGGACGGGUGAGUAAUGUCUGGGAAGCUGCCUGACGGAGGGGGAUAACUACUGGAAACGGUAGCUAAUACCGCAUAAUGUCGCAAGACCAAAGAGGGGGACCUUCGGGCCUCUUGCCAUCGGAUGUGCCCAGAUGGGAUUAGCUUGUUGGUGGGGUAACGGCUCACCAAGGCGACGAUCCCUAGCUGGUCUGAGAGGAUGACCAGCCACACUGGAGCUGAGACACGGUCCAGACUCCUAGGGGAGGCAGCAGUGGGGAAUAUUGCACAAUGGGCGCAAGCCUGAUGCAGCCAUGCCGCGUGUAUGAAGAAGGCCUUCGGGUUGUAAAGUACUUUCAGCGGGGAGGAAGGGAGUAAAGUUAAAACCUGUGCUCAUUGACGUUACCCGCAGAAGAAGCACCGGCUAACUCCGU